rnacentral:lncRNA from 1 species
UUUUGUUCAGUUUUCGGUUCAAAUUUCUUGUCCACCAUUCGUGUUCAAGUUCCGUGGUAGGAAGACGUGGUCGCUGGCUCAUUUCGUUCCAGUCGCUGCCUGUAACGAGGUAAACAACUCGCAACCUUUUGUUCAUCUCGAGUUUGAAUGCGUUGAGUCGUGUUUUGUUCUUUGUGAUUCAAAAAGGAUCCUAUAUGAUAUGUUCGAGCCUGUUUCAUUACUCUCUCUGUCCAAGCAUCGUUUUCCAUUUGGUCUGUAAGUGCUAUCUCGCUUUUGGAUGAGAGUAAAAGUCUAAGAAGGUGGCUAAAAUUAGUAGCAAAAUGUGAGGUUGCCUUGUUAUUUCUGGACUCGACUAGUUUGCCAUAUCUAUUCUUCGAUUUCGUUUCACUGGUUCAUUAAGUUACGAGAUGGCUAUUCCGGCAUGUCUCUUUAAGAUUCUGUUUGUUUUGAUGUUUAUAAAGAGUUAUCCGGCCUUGAAUGAGCUGGAAAUAUUUGAAUCUUGAGUUACCGAGGAUCAAUUUUAGUUUGGAGUCAUUGAAGUGGUUUCGUAUCUGCUUGAUUGCACCUUUAGGUUGUCCAAGACUGUUUUGACUUAAUCUGUGAUUUUAGAGAAAAUCUAGUUAAUCUUUGUCUUGGUGUUUAGUUUAAUUAUAUGGUGAGUAAUAGAUUGGCUUCCUUUUAAUUUGUACCUUAGUGAACCAUGAAUGUAUAGCUCCUGCCCAAUUAAUUGAGAUUAGAAGCUAAGUUUUUUUUGCGAUUUAACUUUCUACAACAUGCACUAAUAUGUUUAGAUGCUUACUAGGAUCACUCAUUUAUACCAAAUUAGUGUUGUCGGCUUAUGUUAAAUGCAUGCUCGUGUAAAAAUGUGUUAAAGUCUAUGGUAUGGUUCUAAUUUUGCUUGCUGCCAUUUUUCUCAUCUAAUUUCAAGGGAUAGAAGCAUUUGACUCCUAACAUAGUUUAUCAUAAAUUAUAUCCCUUUAUUAAGUGACAGUAACUGCAUCAUCUCUUGCUUAACUUGAUUGACCAUCAUAUUAUAAAUCAGAUUCCCUUUUUGUCAUUUAUUAAUUAUUAUUUCUUGUUUCCUUGCAUGAGCCUUUGAGUGAGUCUACUGGACUCCUUUGCUUAUCCGUGCAUUUCGUUUUGAGCCGAGAGGGCUCAAUCUUGUUUGUCUCGAGUCAACCACCGAAGUACCAGCCAUAAGGAAUUGAAGAAUGUGUCCUCGAAAUUGACGUACAGGUGUUUGGAGCUAAUACAAGAUUGUAUACACUAGUACACAUCUAGUGUAUACGAAAGAGGGAAAUGGAUCGAAAGGCCCCCAAAAUUCAGCUUGUAUAUUUGUUGUUUUUGGGCCUAAGCCCUAUUAUUAUUAUUAUUAU